rnacentral:tRNA from 1 species
UAUAGAGUAAGUUAAAAAAACUAGUGGUCUCAUGAGCCAAAAUUGAUUCAUUCCUCCGUAA